rnacentral:rRNA from 1 species
UACAGAGGGGGCAAGCGUUGUUCGGAAUUACUGGGCGUAAAGGGCGCGUAGGCGGCCUGUUAAGUCGAACGUGAAAUCCCCGGGCUCAACCCGGGAACUGCGUCCGAGACUGGCAGGCUCGAAUCCGGGAGAGGGAUGUGGAAUUCCAGGUGUAGCGGUGAAAUGCGUAGAUAUCUGGAGGAACACCGGUGGCGAAGGCGGCAUCCUGGACCGGUAUUGACGCUGAGGCGCGAAAGCCAGGGGAGCAAACGGG